rnacentral:tRNA from 1 species
GGUGGCUCAGUGUUAUAGCACUUGCCUUGCAUGCAUGAGGCCCUGGGUUCGAUUCCUCAGCACCA